GUGUCAGCAGCCGCGGUAAUACGGAGGGUGCGAGCGUUGUUCGGAUUUAUUGGGCGUAAAGGGCGUGCAGGCGGUUUCUUAAGUCUGAUGUGAAAGCCCCGGGCUUACCCCGGGAAGUGCAUUGGAAACUGGGAGACUUGAGUACGGGAGAGGAGAGUGGAAUUCCUGGAGUAGGGGUGAAAUCCGCAGAUAUCAGGAGGAACACCGGUGGCGAAGGCGGCUCUCUGGACCGAUACUGACGCUGAGACGCGAAAGCGUGGGGAGCAAACAGGAUUAGAUACCCGAGUAGUCC
rnacentral:rRNA from 1 species